rnacentral:rRNA from 1 species
AUGCUUAUCAUCACGUUGAGCGUAUCGGCGAACAAGCUAAUGAUGGUCCCGCGACAGUGCAAGGAGUAUGCACGUCUCAUCAUGGAGGCGUUGGACCCCGACAAACUCGGCUACAUCGAGCUGCACAACCUGAAGAUGCUGCUGCUGGAGGCGCCGAGCGAGUCGACAAGCAACAACCACAAGCUCAGCAAGCUGUUGAGCCAGCGUCUCCGCCCGACGACGGAUCCCAGCCCCGUCCGACGUUGGUACAAGCGUGCCAAGUGCUCCCUGGAGGACAACUGGCGGCGCUGCUGGGUGAUGCUCCUGUGGCUCUCCAUCUGCGUCGGCCUCUUCGCCUGGAAGUUCGUGCAAUACCGCCACCACGCUGUGUUCGAGGUGAUGGGCUACUGCGUAUGUGUGGCCAAGGGCGGGGCCGAGACGCUCAAAUUCAACAUGGCGCUCACCCUCCUCCCCGUGUGCCGGAACACCGUCACUUGGCUCCGGAGCCACACCACCGCAGGACGGAUCGUGCCCUUCAAUGACAACCUCAAAUUCCACAUGGCCAUCGCCGUUGGGAUCACUGUGGGCGCCGGGCUACACAUCAUCUCCCACCUGGCAUGCGACUUCCCGCGGCUGCUGCACGCCAUGGACGACGAAUACGAGCCCAUGAAGCCGUUCUUCGGCGACGCCAAGCCGCCCAACUACUGGUGGUUCGUGAGGGGAACGGAGGGAUGGACGGGGCUAGUGAUGCUGGCGCUCAUGGUCGUCGCCUUUACGUUCGCCACGGGACCGCUCCGCAAGGGGAAGCUCCACCUUCCCAAGCUCAAGCAGCUCGAGAGCCUCGACAGCAACCCCGAGCCUAGGGAGCUCACCCGCUUCGCCAGGCUCGUCAAUGCCUCGCGCAGCCGCCUCACUUGGUUGGUCAACACCUUGCUCAACCGCUUCACUGGGUACAACGUCUUCUGGUACACGCACCACCUCUUCCUCGCCGUCUACGCGCUGCUCAUCGUCCAUGGACACUUUCUCUACCUCACCAAGAAGUGGCAAAAGAAGUCGACGUGGAUGUACCUGACGGUGCCGAUGAUCGUGUACGCAUGCGAGCGGCUGACGAGGACGCUUCGGUCGAGCGUGAGGUCGGUGAAAAAAGUCAGGGUGGCCGUGCAUCCGCACCCCGCGACCCUGCUGUCGCUGCACUUGUCCAAGCCGCAGGGGUUCAGGUACAAGAGCGGACAGUACAUCUACGUCAAGUGCCCCGACGUCUCGCCAUUCCAGUGGCACCCGUUCUCCAUCACGUCGGCGCCAGAGGACAACUACGUCAGCGUCCACAUCAAAACGCUCGGUGACUGGACCAACCAGCUCAGGAACGCCUUCUUAAAGGUUUGCCCAACACCGACAGAGGGGACGACCGAGAUUCUUCGGGCGGAGUUCAACCGUGAGGACGCCAUGACCAACCCGAGCCUCCCGAAGGUGCUGAUCGACGGGCCGUACGGGGCGCCGGCGCAGGAUUACAAGGAGUACGACAUCGUGCUACUGGUGGGACUCGGCAUCGGUGCAACGCCCAUGAUCUCGAUCAUCAAGGACAUCAUCACCAACGCGAAGCGGCUCGACGGGGACGUGGAGUCCGGCAACGGCCACGCCGGCGACGCGAGCCCGUUCCGAACCCGUCGAGCCUACUUCUACUGGGUCACCCGGGAGCAGGGCUCCUUGGAGUGGUUCCGUGAAGUCAUGGACGAGGUGGCCGAGGCUGACGAGAAGCGCAUCAUUGAGCUCCACAACCACUGCACCAGCGUCUACGAGAAGGGCGACGCCCGGUCGGCGCUCAUCGCUAUGCUCCAGUCCCUCCACUACGCCAAGAACGGCGUCGACGUCGUCUCCGGCAGCCGCGUCAUGACCCACUUCGGCCGACCAAACUGGACCCAAGUCUACCAGCGCAUCGCCGACGAGAAUAAGGAAACACGUGUCGGUGUGUUCUAUUGUGGCGAGCCGGUGCUCACGAACAAGCUGCGCGGGCUCGCAAAGAAAUUUACAAGAAAAUCAAGCACAAAAUUCGAGUUCCACAGCGAGAAUUUCUAG